GAGGGAAGGAGAAAGAAGAGGAAAAAGGAGAGAGGAUGGAGAAUUGGGUAGGAGAUAGAAUAGAGAGAUAAAGAGGGAGGAUCAGAUGGAGAUUGAGAGAAACAGAGGAGACAAAUCUAAAGGGGUAGAAUCUGAUCAGGAUUGGAUCAUCUGGGUGCAUCUGAAAAAUUUUUUAUUUUAAAACUUUAUAAUCUUUAUAGAUUAUCUUGUAUGUAGUAGAAUAAGGAUCAAAAUUCUCAAGGGGUUACUUGAAUCUGAUGCCUGCGAGGUCUGAAAAUACAAACUCUCUACUUCACGCACAUGC
rnacentral:lncRNA from 1 species